UAGGGAAUCUUCCACAAUGGACGCAAGUCUGAUGGAGCAACGCCGCGUGAGUGAAGAAGGCUUUCGGGUCGUAAAACUCUGUUAUUGAAGAAGAACGUGUGUGACAGUAACUGGUCAUGCAGUGACGGUAUUCAAUCAGAAAGUCACGGCUAACUACGUGCCAGCAGCCGCGGUAAUACGUAGGUGGCAAGCGUUGUCCGGAUUUAUUGGGCGUAAAGCGAGUGCAGGCGGUCUUUUAAGUCUGAUGUGAAAGCCUUCGGCUUAACCGAGAAGGGCAUCGGAAACUGGG
rnacentral:rRNA from 1 species